GGUCAGAAGGUACAUCUGUUUGGCAUUUUCACCCYCUGCAGUAUCAGCYGCUGUCAGGGGAUUCAAACAAUGAUAUCGCUGUCAGAGAGACGGAGUUGAGGAUGAAAGACAGACAGGAUCCUGACAGAGACAGGAAGAAAGAGAGGCAUGCUUAUGAUCACUCUCACUCAGCACAAUGAACAUCCUCAUGGCUGUUUAUCGGCCAUGUUUACUCUGGGAUUUCCUCCAUCAUACGUAACAGACGGACUAUGAAGGUAAUAAAACUCCUUCAUAAGUCUUCAGCAUCACCUCGGUUCUCAUCUGGAGAUGCUUAAACAUCCAUAUGCUGCUUCUCAUAUCUAGAAAAAGUGAUUAAUAAUACAUGACUUCAUGACGGCUACAUAAGAAACCAUAUGUUCACUGUCCUCUCAACAGCCACAUCUGCAAUCUUCAUGCUAAAGAAUAAAAGAUAUUUCAAACCGGAAAUGUUUAUGAGCACCAUUACCAUUCUGAGGAGGAAUAAACAGAAAAAUAACAGGAGAAAUCCCGGAGCUGCCUUAAUGUCUCCCACCGUGUCAUCACUUCAUCGGCCGUGAACGCAGCCAGCAUAACAAGAGGAAACUGUUGGGAACAACGUAUUCGUGGGAACUACAUGCUACAAGACUCCAACAUUUCCUCUUUUAUCAGUGUGAGCGCUAAGCAGUCAGGAACAGCAGGAAUAAAACCACAAAGUGUUUGAUUUCUGCAGAAAUGCUGCAUUAGCAUUGAGACUGAAAUGACUGAUGCACCACAUGCAGCCAAGAUUUAUCUGCAGUUUGGAGGAAAAAAACAGAGUCUCUCAAAAGAGCUGCUGAACGCCACAUGCUACAAAGUUCAUCAUGACGAUUCACUGAGGUGAAGCUCAUCUGUCUGUUUCAGAGCUUGGAUGAUGAUAUGAGCUCUUAUUGUGCUCAUGUUAACAUUUUUAUUGAUCUCAGAGCAGCUCAAACUGUAUAAAACGAUACUGCGUUGGGAAAUUAA